CUGGCCGGCUGCGCGGUGGCAGAAUCGCCCCAGGCUCCUGGGCUGCUUCCCCUUCUGCCAUCAUGAACUGCUGGGUUGCGCACUUUGCACUAAAGUUACCAAACAGUUUGGGGGCCUGUAUCUCCUCGUGAUAACUGCUUCUGGAACACCGAGUGCAUGCUUUUUGGCUUCUCAAGGAACAACAGUCCGUGUUUUGGGCGUUAAUUUUGGUUUGGGCUUGAGGCGCAGCUGGGGAGAGCGUGUCCGUGCUUCUUCAAACUGCUGUGUGGUCGUGGAGAACUGGAGGCCCAGGAGCAGCGGGGGACGCGCCCGGGCCGCGCUGCGGUUUCAGCAACCUGGCCCAGAGCAGGUGUCUUUGCCUGAUUGACACCACCGCUGCUGUGCGACAUGGCUGGAACCAGAUGCACUGAGGAUCUUCUAACAUUGAAGUUGGAAUCUAUAUAUUCCAGAAGGGCAAGGACGAUAUGUUACUCUUCUGUCUGAUGCCUCCACACUUGGACCAAUGGUGGACACAGAAACUGCAGGUGACCCCUUAGAGCUGUGGACAGCCUCGAGUGGACAACCAAUAAGAAGCCAGGUACUCAGUCCUACAGUUGCAAAGCAUGAAUCCUGCCAGUGCCCCCAAAACAGCAUGGAAGCCAAUAUUCCAGAUAAUGAGAACACCGCCUAGCUGACACCUUGACAGCAGAUGUGAGACCCUCAGCAGAGGACUCAAUGUGCCUCAGUACCUGACUCACAGAAACAGGGAGAUAAAUCUGUGUUGUUUUAAAGCCACCAAGUUUGUGAUAAUUCACAGCAAUGGAUAAUUAAAUGCAGAU